CUGAGACGGUCACCUUCCUGCGCAGAGCAGCGGCUGGAUAACGAGGUUUGUGUUCGCGCGUCUUCGAAGCAGGACCUGAGGACACUUCGGAGCUGGCACAGAGAACCACUGCGACCCAGCUUUAUGUCCAAUGCUAUAUCAGGAAUGGUGAACUUGAAUGUCUGCAGAGGCCACCGGCGGGAAAGACAAAGGGCAAAGCCAGCCGGAGGCGAGAAAUAGCAGGCUUCACGGCAAGUGCAGAACCCAAUG